rnacentral:rRNA from 1 species
GACGAACGCUGGCGGCGUGCUUAACACAUGCAAGUCGAACGGAAAGGCCCUGCUUGCAGGGUACUCGAGUGGCGAACGGGUGAGUAACACGUGGGUGAUCUGCCCUGCACUUCGGGAUAAGCCUGGGAAACUGGGUCUAAUACCGGAUAGGAGCCAUUUUUAGUGUGAUGGUUGGAAAGUUUUUUCGGUGUAGGAUGAGCUCGCGGCCUAUCAGCUUGUUGGUGGGGUAAUGGCCUACCAAGGCGGCGACGGGUAGCCGGCCUGAGGGGGUGGACGGCCACAUUGGGACUGGGAUACGGCCCAGACUCCCACGGGGGGCAGGAGUGGGGAAUAUUGCACAAUGGGCGGAAGCCUGAUGCAGCGACGCCGCGUGGGGGAUGACGGCCUUCGGGUUGUAAACUCCUUUCGCUAGGGACGAAGCUGUUUGUGACGGUACCUAGAAAAGAAGCACCGGCUAACUACGUG